UUAACUGAAGAGUUUGAUCAUGGCUCAGAUUGAACGCUGGCGGCAGGCCUAACACAUGCAAGUCGAGCGGAAACGAUGGUAGCUUGCUACCAGGCGUCGAGCGGCGGACGGGUGAGUAACGCGUGAGAAUCUGCCCAUUUGUGGGGGAUAACU
rnacentral:rRNA from 1 species